GAUGAACGCUAGCGGCAGGCUUAACACAUGCAAGUCGAGGGGUAGAAGUUGCUUGCAACUUUGAGACCGGCGCACGGGUGCGUAACGCGUAUGCAAUCUACCUUAUACAGAGGGAUAGCCCAGAGAAAUUUGGAUUAAUACCUCAUAGUAUAAUUGAAUGGCACCAUUUAAUUAUUAAAGUUCUAACGGUAUAAGAUGAGCAUGCGUCCUAUUAGCUAGAUGGUAAGGUAACGGCUUACCAUGGCAACGAUAGGUAGGGGUCCUGAGAGGGAGAUCCCCCACACUGGUACUGAGACACGGACCAGACUCCUACGGGAGGCAGCAGUGAGGAAUAUUGGACAAUGGGCGCAAGCCUGAUCCAGCCAUGCCGCGUGCAGGAAGAAGCAUCUAUGGUGUGUAAACUGCUUUUGUACGGGAAGAAACACCCCUUCGUGAAGGGACUUGACGGUACCGUAAGAAUAAGGAUCGGCUAACUCCGUGCCAGCCGCCGCAGUAA
rnacentral:rRNA from 1 species